UACGUAGGGGGCGAGCGUUGUCCGGAUUUAUUGGGCGUAAAGGGGUCGUAGGCGGCUUAGCAAGUCGGGUGUGAAAACUCCAGGCUCAACCUGGAGACGCCACUCGAGACUGCUAUGGCUAGAGUCCGGUAGGGGACCACGGAAUUCCUGGUGUAGCGGUGAAAUGCGCAGAUAUCAGGAGGAACACCGGUGGCGAAGGCGGUGGUCUGGGCCGGCACUGACGCUGAGGAGCGAAAGCGUGGGGAGCAAACAGG
rnacentral:rRNA from 1 species